rnacentral:rRNA from 1 species
UACGUAGGGGGCAAGCGUUGUCCGGAUUCAUUGGGCGUAAAGAGCUCGUAGGCGGCUUGGCAAGUCGGGUGUGAAAACUUCAGGCUCAACCUGGAGCGGCCAUUCGAUACUGCCAUGGCUUGAGUCCGGUAGGGGACCACGGAAUUCCUGGUGUAGCGGUGAAAUGCGCAGAUAUCAGGAGGAACACCGGUGGCGAAGGCGGUGGUCUGGGCCGGAACUGACGCUGAGGAGCGAAAGCGUGGGGAGCGAACAGG